UUGCUUGAGAGAGGUAGAGUCUCACUACAGAUGGUAAAAUACCUAGCACUUGAUGAGGCGGAUAGGAUGCUGGACAUGGGUUUUGAACCGCAAAUCAGGAAGAUCGUUCAGCAGAUGGAUAUGCCUCCUCCUGGUGUCCGGCAGACAAUGCUGUUCAGUGCUACAUUUCCUAGGGAGAUACAGGUUUGUGGAACUCUUUCACAUGUCAUUUUCUGUGUGUUUUUCCUUACGGGUGAAGAGAUUCAACUAAGUCUUUCUUGUAUUUUCACAUCGCUGACUCGUAACUUUUGUUGUUUAGUUAAGACUUGCAAUAAGUUUGCCUCUUAAAGUUAAAACCACAAGAUAGAAGUUACGUUCUGUGCAGAAAAUGCUCUUCCCAAUUCUAUAUGUGCUUAACUUUGUUUUAUUUUGUGUGCAGAGACUUGCAUCUGAUUUUCUUUCAAAUUACAUAUUUCUGGCUGUUGGAAGAGUGGGUUCAAGUACGGAUUUAAUAGUCCAAAGAGUAGAAUUUGUUCACGAUUCUGACAAAAGAAGCCAUUUAAUGGACCUUCUUCAUGCUCAGAGGGAGAAUGGUAACCAAGGAAAGGUAAUGCAAACCAAUAUAGUUGGUUUCUUGGUUAAAACUUAACAUAGUUAAUACUAGUUCUCCUUUCAUUUGCCGCUUUGUUCUAUAUGAUGCAUUCCGGUUCAAGAGCACCUUGACGAUCCUGUUAAUUUUAUUUUACAGCAAGCUUUGACUCUUGUAUUUGUGGAGACAAAGAAGGGAGCUGACUCGUUGGAGAAUUGGUUGUGCAUGAACGGAUUCCCAGCAACGACCAUCCACGGUGAUAGGUCACAACAGGUUAGUGAGUUGUUCAUAUCAGAAAAUGUAUAGUACAGUGCAACCGAACCUGAUACCAUAUCGUUUUAUUAUGCAUACAAGGAAAGAGAAGUGGCACUGAGAUCAUUCAAGACUGGGCGGACACCUAUUUUGGUUGCAACUGAUGUGGCAGCACGUGGUCUUGACAUUCCACACGUGGCCCAUGUGGUUAACUUUGAUCUACCAAACGAUAUCGAUGACUAUGUCCACCGUAUCGGACGAACAGGACGU
rnacentral:lncRNA from 1 species